CGCUAGCGGCAGGCUUACACAUGCAAGUCGAGGGGUAAGGUCUACUUCGGUGGAUAACGACCGGCGAAUGGGUGAGUAACACGUAUGCAACUUACCUUUAACUGGAGAAUAGCUCCGGGAAACCGGAAUUAAUACUCCAUAACAUAUUAAAAACACAUGUUUUUAAUAUCAAAGCUCAGGCGGUUAAAGAUGGGCAUGCGAGGCAUUAGUUAGUUGGUAGGGUAACGGCCUACCAAGACAGCGAUGCCUAGGGGGUCUGAGAGGAUGAUCCCCCACACUGGCACUGAGACACGGGCCAGACUCCUACGGGAGGCAGCAGUGAGGAAUAUUGGGCAAUGGGCGAAAGCUUGACCCAGCCAUGCCGCGUGCAGGAUGACUGUCCUAUGGAUCGUAAACUGCUUUUUUACGGGAAGAAUCCCCCCGUUCUUCGGGGGUUGACGGUACCGUAUGAAUAAGGGUCGGCUAACUCCGUGCCAGCAGCCGCGGUAAUACGGAGGACCCGAGUGUUAUCCGGAUUUACUGGGUUUAAAGGGUGCGCAGGCGGAAUAGUAAGUCGAUGGUGAAAGGCUACAGCUUAACUGUAGAAUUGCCAUUGAUACUGCUAUUCUUGAGUGCAGUCGAAGCGAGCGGAAUGUGUAGUGUAGCGGUGAAAUGCAUAGAUAUUACACAGAACACCGAUAGCGUAAGCAGCUCGCUAGGCUGUUACUGACGCUGAGGCACGAAAGCGUGGGUAUCGAACAGGAUUAGAUACCCUGGUAGUCCACGCUGUAAACGAUGAUCACUAGUUGUUGGCGAUAUAUUGUCAGCGACUGAGCGAAAGCGUUAAGUGAUCCACCUGGGAAGUACGUCCGCAAGGAUGAAACUCAAAGGAAUUGACGGGGGCUCGCACAACCGGUGGAACACGUGGUUCAAUUCGACGCUACGCGAGGAACCUUACCUGGGCUUAAAUGCAGAACGACUCUUCGAGAAAUCGAAGUUCCCUUCGGGGCGUUCUACAAGGUGCUGCACGGCUGUCGUCAGCCCGUGCCAUGAGGUGUCGGGUUAAGUCCCUUAACGAGCGCAACCCCUAUUGUUAGUUGCCAGCGGGUAAUGCCGGGGACUCUAGCAAAACUGCCAGUGUAAGCUGGAGGAAGGUGGGGAUGACGUCAAGUCAGCAUGGCCCUUAUGUCCAGGGCUACACACGUGUUACAAUGGCCGGUACAAAGGGCAGCUACCACGCGAGUGGAUGCUAAUCUCUAAAGCCGGUCUUAGUUCGGAUCGGAGUCUGCAAUUCGACUUCGUGAAGGUGGAAUCGGUAGUAAUCGCGCAUCAGCAACGGCGCGGUGAUACGUUCCCGAGCCUUGUACACACUGCCCGUCAAGCCAUGGGAGUCGGGGUACCUGAAGUUCGUAACCGCAAGGAGCGAAUUAGGGUAAACCGGCAACUGGGGCUAAGUCGUA
rnacentral:rRNA from 1 species